CCCGGCGGGCAGGACCGAGCGCGGCCGCCCGGCGACGCCUCGGCACUAAAUGGCGACGGCGGGAGCCCGAACCGACACACGGUCCGGGGGGGAGGAGGGGCCGCGCCGCCGGCCACGCCCCGGCCGAGAGCGCGUAGUCCUCUACACCCCCCUCCCCGCCGAGGGGAGGUGGCCGCUCCCGCCGCGCGCGGUGCACCAUGGGAGCGGUAGUUUCCAGCGGCCGAGCAGCGGCAGGGGAGCCGCCCGUGGAUUCCCCCGGGAUGGGAGGAAGGAAGGGAGCGAGGAACGGAGGAGAGCAGGAGAGAGGAGGGAGCGACGAAGGAGGAUCCCGGCGUGCGCCGGGGGCCGAUGUGCUGUGGGGAAACUCGUCCUGCGCGGCCGCCCCUUCCUCCCCUCGCCCGGCACGUGAAAAGGCACCAGGUCUGCUUGCACUGCUCCUUUCUUCAAGUCUUGUGUUACGCCCACACAUUAAAUAUUUCGGAUAAUAAACGAAAACCAAGCACUUUCCUUCUUACGCCAGCAAUCUUUUGAAGUCAACUGGAAUGUACUGAAGGAGUAAAUGAUUUUGUGCCAUGACUUUCAGGCAGCUACAGAGCAAAAAUUACAUUGAGGAAGAAAAAGAAAACUAAGAAAAUUCCCUGAUUUUGCUUUCUCCAUUAAAUUUCAUCCAUUGUUGGCAUCCAUGACCUCUCCAUGUGACAAAGUCUUAAUGGGAAGUAGCUAUUCUCUAUUUUCUCUUAUGCAAUACAUUAUGCAAUACAGGAGGCUAUGCCAUAA